CGUUCUAUGGCCGAAUUGGUAAAGGCAUCGCCGAUCAAGGUGAGGUUGCGGGUUCGAGUCCCGGUGGAACGA
rnacentral:tRNA from 1 species